rnacentral:rRNA from 1 species
GACGAACGCUGGCGGCGUGCUUAACACAUGCAAGUCGAACGGAAAGGCCCUGCUUUUGUGGGGUGCUCGAGUGGCGAACGGGUGAGUAACACGUGAGUAACCUGCCCUUGACUUUGGGAUAACUUCAGGAAACUGGGGCUAAUACCGGAUAGGAGCUCCUGCUGCAUGGUGGGGGUUGGAAAGUUUCGGCGGUUGGGGAUGGACUCGCGGCUUAUCAGCUUGUUGGUGGGGUAGUGGCUUACCAAGGCUUUGACGGGUAGCCGGCCUGAGGGGGUGACCGGCCACCUUGGGCCUGAGAUACGGCCCAGACUCCUACGGGAGGCAGCAGUGGGGAAUCUUGCACAAUGGGCGGAAGCCUGAUGCAGCAACGCCGCGUGCGGGAUGACGGCCUUCGGGUUGUAAACCGCUUUCGCCUGUGACGAAGCGGGAGUGACGGUAAUGGGUAAAGAAGCACCGGCUAACUACGUG